rnacentral:rRNA from 1 species
GGUAUUGAUCUGGUGCUUGCAUCAUGAUUUACAUUUGAGUGAGUGGCGAACUGGUGAGUAACACGUGGGAAACCUGCCCAGAAGCGGGGGAUAACACCUGGAAACAGAUGCUAAUACCGCAUAACAACUUGGACCGCAUGGUCCGAGUUUGAAAGAUGGCUUCGGCUAUCACUUUUGGAUGGUCCCGCGGCGUAUUAGCUAGAUGGUGGGGUAACGGCUCACCAUGGCAAUGAUACGUAGCCGACCUGAGAGGGUAAUCGGCCACUUUGGGACUGAGACACGGCCCAAACUCCUACGGGAGGCAGCAGUAGGGAAUCUUCCACAAUGGACGAAAGUCUGAUGGAGCAACGCCGCGUGAGUGAAGAAGGGUUUCGGCUCGUAAAACUCUGUUGUUAAAGAAGAACAUAUCUGAGAGUAACUGUUCAGGUAUUGACGGUAUUUAACCAGAAAGCCACGGCUAACUACGUGCCAGCAGCCGCGGUAAUACGUAGGUGGCAAGCGUUGUCCGGAUUUAUUGGGCGUAAAGCGAGCGCAGGCGGUUUUUUAAGUCUGAUGUGAAAGCCUUCGGCUCAACCGAAGAAGUGCAUCGGAAACUGGGAAACUUGAGUGCAGAAGAGGACAGUGGAACUCCAUGUGUAGCGGUGAAAUGCGUAGAUAUAUGGAAGAACACCAGUGGCGAAGGCGGCUGUCUGGUCUGUAACUGACGCUGAGGCUCGAAAGUAUGGGUAGCAAACAGGAUUAGAUACCCUGGUAGUCCAUACCGUAAACGAUGAAUGCUAAGUGUUGGAGGGUUUCCGCCCUUCAGUGCUGCAGCUAACGCAUUAAGCAUUCCGCCUGGGGAGUACGGCCGC